rnacentral:rRNA from 1 species
AGGAUGAACGCUGGCGGCGUGCCUAACACAUGCAAGUCGAACGUCCUGUCUCGCAAGAGGCAGGGAGUGGCGGACGGGUGAGUACCACGUGGGUGAUCUACCGUGAGGUGAGGAAUACCGGCGAGAAAUCGCCGACAAGACCGCAUAGCCUCGGUGCAAGCCGAGGAAAGCUCUCUCGAGAGAGGGAGCGCCACACGAGGAGCCUGCGCCCGAUUAGCUAGCUGGUGGAGUAACGGUUCACCAGGGCGACGAUCGGUAGCUGGUCUGAGAGGACGAUCAGCCACACUGGGAUUGAGAACGGCCCAGACUCCUACGGGGGGCAGCAGUGAGGAAUUUUCGUCAAUGGGGGCAACCCUGAACGAGCAACGCCGCGUGCAGGAAGAAGGUUUUCGGAUCGUAAACUGCUUUUCGUCGGGGAAGAGGAACGGACGGUACCCGAGGAACUCGACGCCCCGGCUAACGUACGUGCCAGCAGCCGCGGUAA